UGCAGUCGAACGAGAACCCCUGGGCAACUGGGGGGGAAAGUGGCGAAAGGGGCAGUAAGGCGUGGGUAACCUACCCCGGGGACCGGGAUAGCCAUCCUAACGGGUGGGUAAUACCGGGCGAUGUAGCCGAGGCGCAUGUUUUGGCUACGAAAUGAGUUUCGCCUCGGGAGGGGCUCACGUGGUAUUAGCUAGUUGGUGGGGUAACGGCCUACCAAGGCAAAGAUGCCUAGCGGGUGUGAGAGCACGACCCGCGCCACUGGCACUGAGACACUGGCCAGACUCCUACGGGAGGCUGCAGUCGAGGAUCUUCGGCAAUGGGCGCAAGCCUGACCGAGCGACGCCGCGUGCGCGAUGAAGGCCUUCGGGUUGUAAAGCGCUGUCGAGGGGGAGGAAAGCCCGCAAGGGUCUGACCUAUCCCUGGAGGAAGCACGGGCUAAGUUCGUGCCAGCAGCCGCGGUAAGACGAACCGUGCGAACGUUGUUCGGAUUCACUGGGCUUAAAGGGCGCGUAGGCGGAUUGCCAAGUCAGGGGUGAAAUCUUUCGGCUCAACCGGAAAACAGCCUUUGAUACUGGCAGUCUUGAGGGAGGUAGGGGCAUGUGGAACUUCCGGUGGAGCGGUGAAAUGCGUAGAUAUCGGAAGGAACGCCGGUGGCGAAAGCGACGUGCUGGAUCUCUUCUGACGCUGAGGCGCGAAAGCUAGGGGAGCAAACGGGAUUAGAUACCAGAUGUGUCCCCCACAGGGGUGACCCUGUGGUGCGCAUCCGGCUAUAUCGGGGGAACUCUCAGCAGAUGAGACAAUCCCGACGAAGUCCUGCCCGCGAGGGCGGUGACCCGCGAGAGACUGUACGCCGGACACCCUUCUUAA
rnacentral:rRNA from 1 species